rnacentral:tRNA from 1 species
GGCCCUGAGGUGUUAACACAUAUUGAAUUGCAAAUUCAAAGAAGCAGCUUCAAUUCUGCCGGGGCCU